GCAGUCGUGGCCAAGUGGUUAAGGCGAUGGACUAGAAACGUGCAGUCGACAGGUUUGAAUCCUGUCGACUGCG
rnacentral:tRNA from 1 species